rnacentral:rRNA from 1 species
CCUACGGGUGGCUGCAGUGGGGAAUAUUGGACAAUGGGGGGAACCCUGAUCCAGCCAUGCCGCGUGUGUGAAGAAGGCCCUCGGGUUGUAAAGCACUUUCAGUGAGGAAGAACGCCUGGUGGUUAAUACCCAUCAGGAAAGACAUCACUCACAGAAGAAGCACCGGCUAACUCCGUGCCAGCAGCCGCGGUAAUACGGAGGGUGCGAGCGUUAAUCGGAAUUACUGGGCGUAAAGCGCGCGUAGGUGGCUUGAUAAGCCGGUUGUGAAAGCCCCGGGCUCAACCUGGGAACGGCAUCCGGAACUGUCAAGCUAGAGUGCAGGAGAGGAAGGUAGAAUUCCCGGUGUAGCGGUGAAAUGCGUAGAGAUCGGGAGGAAUACCAGUGGCGAAGGCGGCCUUCUGGACUGAAACUGACACUGAGGUGCGAAAGCGUGGGUAGCAAACAGGAUUAGAUACCCGAGUAGUC